UACGUAGGGUGCAAGCGUUAUCCGGAAUUAUUGGGCGUAAAGAGCUCGUAGGCGGUUUGUCGCGUCUGCUGUGAAAACUGGAGGCUCAACCUCCAGCCUGCAGUGGGUACGGCAGACUAGAGUGCGGUAGGAGAGAUUGGAAUUCCCGGUGUAGCGGUGAAAUGCGCAGAUAUCGGGAGGAACACUGGUGGCGAAGGCGGUUCUCUGGGCCUUACCUGACGCUGAGGAGCGAAAGCGUGGGGGAGCGAACAGG
rnacentral:rRNA from 1 species